rnacentral:tRNA from 1 species
GCCCUAGUGGUUUAGUGGAUAAAGCACUGGCCCCUAAAGCCAGGAAGCAUGGUUUCAAGUCCCAUCUGUGAUG